AGAGUUUGAUCCUGGCUCAGGACGAACGCUGGCGGCGUGCUUAACACAUGCAAGUCGAACGGAAAGGUCUCUUCGGAGAUACUCGAGUGGCGAACGGGUGAGUAACACGUGGGUGAUCUGCCCUGCACUUCGGGAUAAGCCUGGGAAACUGGGUCUAAUACCGGAUAGGACCACGGGAUGCAUGUCUUGUGGUGGAAAGCGCUUUAGCGGUGUGGGAUGAGCCCGCGGCCUAUCAGCUUGUUGGUGGGGUGACGGCCUACCAAGGCGACGACGGGUAGCCGGCCUGAGAGGGUGUCCGGCCACACUGGGACUGAGAUACGGCCCAGACUCCUACGGGAGGCAGCAGUGGGGAAUAUUGCACAAUGGGCGCAAGCCUGAUGCAGCGACGCCGCGUGGGGGAUGACGGCCUUCGGGUUGUAAACCUCUUUCACCAUCGACGAAGGUCCGGGUUCUCUCGGAUUGACGGUAGGUGGAGAAGAAGCACCGGCCAACUACGUGCCAGCAGCCGCGGUAAUACGUAGGGUGCGAGCGUUGUCCGGAAUUACUGGGCGUAAAGAGCUCGUAGGUGGUUUGUCGCGUUGUUCGUGAAAUCUCACGGCUUAACUGUGAGCGUGCGGGCGAUACGGGCAGACUAGAGUACUGCAGGGGAGACUGGAAUUCCUGGUGUAGCGGUGGAAUGCGCAGAUAUCAGGAGGAACACCGGUGGCGAAGGCGGGUCUCUGGGCAGUAACUGACGCUGAGGAGCGAAAGCGUGGGGAGCGAACAGGAUUAGAUACCCUGGUAGUCCACGCCGUAAACGGUGGGUACUAGGUGUGGGUUUCCUUCCUUGGGAUCCGUGCCGUAGCUAACGCAUUAAGUACCCCGCCUGGGGAGUACGGCCGCAAGGCUAAAACUCAAAGGAAUUGACGGGGGCCCGCACAAGCGGCGGAGCAUGUGGAUUAAUUCGAUGCAACGCGAAGAACCUUACCUGGGUUUGACAUGCACAGGACG
rnacentral:rRNA from 1 species